rnacentral:lncRNA from 1 species
UAUAUCCGAAUUAUUCAAUAUGAAGGUUGUUGUCUUUAGUAGGAAUCAUAAUCCUAACAAAAAAUACAAAAAAAAAAAAGUUUUGGUUCCUUCUGUUAGAUGUGAUUUCAACGCUUGAGUUGGCUUGAAAUAUUUGAUUGGGAAUUCUGUUUGAAGGUUGAAUCUGUCGACGAAGAUGUUUCUGUUUCAUCAUUUGGUUUAGAUCUUUGGUUAUUCGAGUAUGGGGAUAAAGCUCAGUCGGGGUUGAUUCGAGUUCGUAUUCGAUUCGAAAUUCCGGUGUCGAUUUGAGUUUCCGUCCGGUGGCCUGCUGUUUCGGCUCGGGUUUGCUGUUUAACGAGGGGUUCUGUUUCUCUCUUCUCAAUUUCUACUGCUUUUGUUCCCAUGACAAAACUUUGACAAUUUAUAGAUGUUCUAAAUUGAAGUAAUGUUCAUGUUACAUAUUGAUUUGGUUACAUCUGUUGGAUAUUUUUAUGAAUGUGAUAGAUUUGUUCUUGUUAAUUGAUAAUUUCAUAGUUUAUGUUCACUUGAUAGAAGCAAUUCUAGCCUUCUGUUUUUGUGUUUGAUUCUCUGUUUACGAACUUUAUAGGAAUUAAUAUUGAUCGUUAAAGCUAAGCCAAAUUCAUCGAUAAAGAUUCUGCACUGGAUAUUCCGUGUGCUUUUCUCCC